rnacentral:tRNA from 1 species
AGGUGUAUAGCUCAGUGGUAGAGCACAUGCUUAGCAUGCAUGAGACCCUGGGUUCAAUCUCCAGCACCUCCA